ACCUCCUCAUCAGGCCAACUCUCCACACCUAAAACAGCCCUGGCUGCAUUUAAGUCUGCUCCUGUCUCUGCUUCAGUGCCAGAUUGUCUUGUGUUAUGCCUGACUUCCAGCGUUCUUUCCCCGGACUGAUCACCUGUUGUCGAUCCCCGACCUGCCUGCCUCGUCUCUGCCCUGGAUAUUAUCUCAGCCUUCUGUCUUCGACCACGAGUUUCGCCUAUUCCCUCCUGGUUACGCUCCUGCUCGGCUCUGUGGCUACACAGCUCACCACUGGACCUGUCUGCCAGCUAGCUGUUCUUCGAGCGCUCCCCAGAAUAAUGCAGACUCUUGGAGCGGCGGGGGGGGGCGUCCAUUUCUCCUGUUUUGGUGUCGCUGCUGCAAGGAUGACGGCUGCAAAAAUACUUCUCUUAUCUCAACAAAUAAACAGCUACCAUUUUCUGGGGUGAUAGAACUUUU